GGGAAUGUAGCUUAGUGGUAGAGCACUUGUCUAACAAGCACAAGGCCCUGAGUUCAAGUCUCAGCAUUGCAA
rnacentral:tRNA from 1 species